GAUGAACGCUAGCGGCAGGCUUAACACAUGCAAGUCGAGGGGUAUGCCGAUUUAUCGGCAGAGACCGGCGCACGGGUGCGUAACGCGUAUGCAAUCUACCUUUCACAGAGGGAUAGCCCAGAGAAAUUUGGAUUAAUACCUCAUAGUAUAGCAGUUUCGCAUGAAACCACUAUUAAAGUUCCAACGGUGAAAGAUGAGCAUGCGUCCCAUUAGCUAGAUGGUAAGGUAACGGCUUACCAUGGCAAUGAUGGGUAGGGGUCCUGAGAGGGAGAUCCCCCACACUGGUACUGAGACACGGACCAGACUCCUACGGGAGGCAGCAGUGAGGAAUAUUGGACAAUGGGCGCAAGCCUGAUCCAGCCAUGCCGCGUACAGGAUGACGGUCCUAUGGAUUGUAAACUGCUUUUAUACAGGAAGAAACACUCCGACGUGUCGGAGCUUGACGGUACUGUAAGAAUAAGGAUCGGCUAACUCCGUGCCAG
rnacentral:rRNA from 1 species